UCUUUCAAUAGUGACCUUUGCUUAGGUUGAAUCAUUUCCUUUGGAAAUAAAAGAAAAUGCCUCCAUUGUUUUGGACGAGUUUUCUCCAUCGUUGAAAAAAUCUUGCAAAACAACUUUUCUCCCACUGGGAAGCCUCAAGCUUCCUCUCGAUUCGGUCUCCGCGGUCCCGAGCAGACAACCGCAUCAUGCUGUGGGAGAACUCUUGAUUUACCGGGGACAUUUUCACGGAGGAGCUGAGGGCACCCUUGGACCUCCCCCCACCCCCCCCCCCCCCAUCUCGCAGCUGGGAGCUGAGAUCCAGACGGCCCCCAAGUGCAGUGCUCAGGGCUGGGAGGAAGGUUAGUCGCCAAGCUGGGAAGGGGACCGGCCUCCCGCCACCUCAUCUAGUCCGACUUUGCCAGAUGACGUGGCGUGGACAGUGAGCACCUCACCAGAACCGUCUCCGGUGCGGCCGGGGGGGCUGGCUGGUGCGCCCAUGAAACGCCGGGCACCUUGGCAUCAGCAGGUCCGGGGUCGGAUCCUGCCUCGGCCGGCGUCAGCUGUGAGGAUUCUGACACGUCCCUGAACCUCUCUGUGCCUCAGUUUCCUCCUCUGUAAAAUGGGGGGCUCACAGUGAGGACUGAGCGGGUUAGUUCACAUAAGGCGUGUCAAGCAGCGGCUGAACGUGAGAGUGAGCGUCGUUCUUCUGGCCCCCGAGGGUUUUUGCACUGACCACUCUGGGAGGCUGUGUGCUGUGCCCAAGGGACCAGACCCUCUCACCCGGGCGACGGUGCUGCUGUCCCAUCAACAAAUUAGAAAUCCAUCAGCCUGGACGCGGCUGAAGCCUAGGUCUUUGGACACAGUGACCCUUCCCGGACAGCGGUGGCCCACAGUGGCUCGUGAGCGACCACUCUCAGGAAACUGAACUGAUACUCCGCACGACUUCUCGGGUGAAAAUGCCCUACCCGGGGGGGAAUGACCGGCUCAAAUGACGGAAAUUUCCGGCGCGCUGGCCGGCCGGCCCUCGGGGAAGUGGAGGCAGAGCCUGAGCGAGGGCCGGCCGGGCAGCCGGGCCCGACUCCGUCCCUCCACCGACGACGCGGGGCGGCAGGUUGGAUUGAGUGCCCUUGAGGCGCCCCAACCCGGGUGUUUCCUUCUCUCAGGUGGGGCCCGGGGAUCUCCCCGGAGACACAGCUCUUGCCCUGUACCCUUCCUACCUCCCUGAGGGAUCCCAAGGUACCUAGAAAGUUCCCUGCCGCACCGGCUCCCUGCCAACAGCUUUGAGACCUUGCAGGCCUCCUACCCUCACCUGGGCCUCCACCUUCCUGUUCAGGGAGCCGAGGCCACAGGUGUAGCACAUGUCCGCUCCCUCCCUGCAGGCCCCGGGCCGCAAGCCUGCAAGGCAGCCGGAAGAGGCCGAGGAGGAAGGGGACCCCGGAGGCCAGAGGACAUCCUAGGCGCAGAGCCAUGAAAAAGCUGGAGUGAGUUCAGGGAAGAGUGAUAAAGAAGGGAGUUCUGGAAGAAGCCAGAGGAAGGCUGCCUUGCUGAGCUGACCAGGUUUGCUUUGCCAGAGCAUCUGCAUUCGUGGGUCCCUGAGCUCUUCACAAACAGACCCCCACCGCUCCCUUUGUCACUUUGCAUCACGCGCGGCUGCUUUGGGGAUAUCGACUGAUUAUCCUCGGCUGGGGUCGUGGGGCUCCCUCCCACCACCGGGCCUUUGCAUGUGCCGCUGGCUUUGCCAAGAGUGCCUUUCCUUUCACUCUGGGCCUCGGCGGAUUAAGCACAAGACCGGCCCUGCCCCUUUUUCCCCCCCGGAAACCUUCACAAGCCCCUCCUUGGGGUGAUGACGCGUCCCUCCUCUGGCUGUGGCAGUCUCUGUUCACCUCUGUCACACACUAUGGCGACCUGUGCUUGCGGGAACUAUACAGACGGGGACUCUGGCUUUGUCUUAUUCAUCCUUGUAGCCCACGGCCUUUAUGUUAUGCAGGGCAAGGAACCCAACAACCAUGAUUCAAUAAAUACCUAUUAAUGAAAUACGAAUAUCCAAGGAAUCAAUUUGCUACGUCACCUUCUCCGGGAAGACUUCUGUGAUCCUUCCAACCUGGAGGCUUUUCCCCACACGGGCUUCCUUCCCAUUCUGUCUGUGCCUCCUUUUUCCCCCCGACCCCUUUCUCCUUUUCUGUUCCACGGCGGGUAGCCGGGCACUUAGGAAGCGCUCGGUAAGCGGUCACCGAAUGGCAGUUAGUGGAAAACUGAACUGAUUUUGUUUACAGCAGCGUGGAAAGAAUCAUUCUGGGAUAUUCCGG